AUACGUAGGGUGCAAGCGUUAAUCGGAAUUACUGGGCGUAAAGCGCUCGUAGGCGGCUUGUUAAGUCGGAUGUGAAAUCCCCGGGCUCAACCUGGGAACUGCAUUCGAUACUGGCAGGCUAGAGUAUAGUAGAGGCAAGUGGAAUUCCGGGUGUAGCGGUGAAAUGCGUAGAUAUCCGGAGGAACAUCAGUGGCGAAGGCGACUUGCUGGACUAAUACUGACGCUGAGGAGCGAAAGCGUGGGGAGCAAACGGGAUUAGAAACCCCAGUAGUCC
rnacentral:rRNA from 1 species